AGUUCUCGCAGGAGGAGGAGUUGCAGGUGUUGGAGAAGAUUGACUCUGAGCAGCAAGAACUGACUCCAUCAUGGCAGUCAGGCGGGCGAUCUCGUCCUUCAGUUCUCUAUUCUCUUGCUCUAGAUGCUCCAUAAUUCUGAAGUGAUUGGCGCGGGUGUUGUACCGAUGAGUCAACUUGGCUAAAGCACAGAAGAAACACCAAUGA
rnacentral:lncRNA from 1 species